AUCAAAUUAUAUUAAAUCACUAUAGUGUUGAAGCAGUCUAACAAUAUUCAUUAAUGUCUGAUCAGACACUAAAAAGUAUAUUUUAAAAAGACAAAUUUUAAAAAUUAACAGUGAUCAAGAGAUUUAAGAAAAAAUCCACAUUGACAUACUACUGUGAUAGUUUCUCAAAAAAAAAAAAAACAGCAAAAACGUUUAUGUUAUCUCCAUGUCAAGAUACUUCAACUUAGGUUGGGGCCAUAUAUUCUAAUGAAAGUAGUCAAGCAAAUAGUCACCUUGCCAAACUAGUUUUUUGUUUUGUUUGUUUUUUAUUUUACUUUAAGUUCUAGAUACAUGUACAGAACGUGGAGGUUUGCUGCAUAGGUAUACAUGUGCCAUGGUGGUUUUCCGCAUCUAUCAACCUGUCAUCUAGGUUUUAAGCCCGGCAUGCAUUAGGUUUUUAUCCUAAUGCUAUCCUUCCCUCUGCCGCCCACCCGCUGGCAGGCCCCAGUGCGUGAAGUUCCCUCCCUGUGUCCAUGUGUUCUCAUUGUUCAACCCACACUUACGAGUGAGAACAUGUGGUGUGCCAAACUAGUUUCUAUUGUCGACUAAUCAUUUCUCAUUCUUUAACCUGAACUCCCUGGAGAAAAAGUAGAAAGUUAAUCAAGCUACUGCCUAAGGUUUCAUGAGGACUGUGAAAAAAGAAUGAAACAUCAUUCCAGCGUUCAGAGGGAAUGCAUUAGGCCACAGGGCACCAAGACAGCUGUCUUUGAUUCAGUUGUCUUUAGAAUAGGACUAACAUUUAAUAAAAUUCCAAAGUUUGGUUGAGCCUUUAUUAAUUAAUUAGUAUAAAUUCAUUUAUCAUGGGAAUUACGCUACCCGCUACACUCCUCUGCCAUCCAAAGUCAGCAGUAAACUGCUCUUUCCCUGUUUCCAACCAUCCCCUUCUCUAACAGACCCCUCCCUCUUCUUCAUAUUGCUCACUGACACUUUACAUAGGAGAACUGAAUUACAGUUGCGGCACUCUAAGGGUCAUGUUCGGCCACUCACCCACAACGGGACUCCUUUUCACCACAUUCAGCGUGGCUAAUCAGGUGAUCAUCUGCAUGAACCUUUAAGUAUUAAGAAUCCCCUUCCCCCUAAGUCACUUAUCCUUGGGUGAAUAUUUUCUUUCAUUACAAUCUCCUUGAGAGAGGCCCAGGCCUACAUCCUGAAAUUUUCAUUCUGUCAUUUGAAAUCUGCUCUCUUGAAAGAUAGGCCACAUCUACUACUUCACUAUUCAAAUAUUUUAGGUCAGCAUUUCCAUUACUGCACAGUCUUUGCAACUUCAGACUCAACAUCAUUUCUUUCACGGAUUUCAAAGGUGGGUCAAAGGACAAAACUUUCACCCUUUUCCCCUCCCCAGCCUCACUACCCUCUUCAGAAGUUGCUGGAUGUAGCAGUGUGUUUCAAAGGUGUGACCUCCAGAGCAGUUUCAUGCUCCAACCAUGCAAUCCACUCCAUGGUCACUUUCUUCUUUUCCAAAAUUCUUUUCAUGCAGCCCAAGUUUCCAUUGCCUGGUGUAAUGCUUUUGUCAGACUUGGAGUUCAUUUGAGCUUAUUGGACAGUUGUUGGCUCAUUAAAUAUUCUACCUAUGCCUUUUCACAGAAUUAAACUCAAGUUGCCUCUCUCUAUCUAACUGUUACAAUUUAAGUGAAAUUUCUAAUUGCUUGAAUUUUUUUCAAUACUUUUAAAAAAUUAUUAUACUUUAAGUUCUGGGGUACAUAUGCAUAAUGUGCAGGUUUGUUACAUAGGUAUACAUGUGCCAUGGUGGUUUGCUGCACCCAUCAAUGCAUCAUCUACAUUAGGUAUUUCUCCUAAUGCUAUCCCUCCCCUAGACCCCCAACCCCCAACAGGCCCGAUGUGUGGUGUUCCCCUCCCUGUGUCCCUGUGUUCUCAUUGUUCAACUCCCACUUAUGACUGAGAACAUGCAGUAUUUGGUUUUCCGUUCUUGUGUUAGUUUGCUGAGAAUGAUGGUUUCCACCUUCAUUUGUGUCCCUGCAAAGGACAUGAACUCAUCCUUUUUUAUGGCUGCAGAGUAUUCCAUGGUGUAUAUGUGCCACAUUUUCUUUCUCCAGUCUGCCUAACUAAAAUUUUAUAAUUAGUAGUCUUCAUUUCACAAUAAAUUAUGACAAUGAUGGUGGUCAUGGUAGUGGUGGUGGUGAUCACGAUUAUGAUGAUGAUGAACAUAUAUAUAUAUAUACAGCACUCUUUCCAUGUGCCAGGUACAUAAGUACUUUAUAAUUUUUAUCUCAUUUAAUCAUUUCAACAAACUUGUAGGCUAGGUAAUGCUCACUGACCCUAACAAGUUUAGAUGUUCACAACUGUUAGGUUCUCUUUGGUAGGUAAUGGAAACACUCAAGAAGUGACAAGUGGUAAAAGUUACUGUACUACUAUGUCACUACCAGCUUGUAUGGAAGACCAAAUUCUUCUGUACAGAUAAUCAUUUAAUAGCCAGCAGACACCAAAAAUCCAGCUUGUUUUGGUAGCUUGGAAAUAAUCAAUUUCUCUGUCUUUUCAGGUUUUCUGAGCAUUUCUUUGCAUGAAAAGUUUGCCUGAUGCAGUCACAAAUCAUUGUUGGCUCAUUAAAAAUCCUAAGCAGUGACUUUUCUAGAAUAUGGCUCUACUCACUCUCUGGGUACACCCUUUCUUUUUUUUUCUUGUGAAUCUUAUUUUUUAAUUGCAUUUUAGGUUUUGGGGUACAUGUGAAGAACAUGCAAGACAGUUGCACAGGUACACAUGUGGCAGUGUGAUUUGCUGCCUUCCUCCCCUUCACCUAUAUCUGGCAUUUCUCCCCAUACUAUCUUUCCCCAACUCCUCACCCCCACUGGCCCUCCCCUAUUCCCCCCAACAGACCCCAGUGUGUAGUACUCCCCUCCCUGUGUCCAUGUGUUCUCGUUGUUCAGCACCCGCCUAUGAGUGAGAACAUGCGGUAUUUCAUUUUCUGUUCUUGUGUCAGUUUGCUGAGAAUGAUGUUCUCCAGGUUCAUCCAUACAAAGGAUAUGAACUCAUCGUUUUUGAUUGCUGCAUAAUAUUCCAUGGUAUAUAUGUGCCACAUUUUCCCCGUCCAGUCUAUCAUCGAUGGGCAUUUGGGUUGAUUCCAGGUCUUUGCUAUUGUAAACAUUGAGGCAAUAAACAUUCGAGUGCAUGUGUCCUUAUAGUAGAACGAUUUAUAAUCCUUUGGAUAUAUACCCAGUAAUGGGAUUGCUGGGUCAAAUGGAAUUUCUAUUUGUAGGUCCUUGAGGAAUCGCCACACUGUCUUCCACAAGGGUUGAACUAAUUUACACUCCCACCAGCAGUGUAAAAGUGUUCCUAUUUCUCCACAUCCUUUCCAGCAUCUGUUGUCUCCAGAUUUUUUAAUGAUCGUCAUUCUAACUGGCGUGAGAUGGUAUCUCAAUGUAGUUUUGAUGUGCAUUUCUCUAAUGACCAGUGAUGAUGAGCAUUUUUUCAUACACCCUUUCUAAUGAUGGGGUCAAGGAAAAUGAUCAGCAAGUACAGAGAGGAGGCAGAACAAUUAGGGAAGAGAGAACUAAAAUAGAAGUGAGGGAUCAGACAAAAAUUCAUUUGGGCUACUUGCCACAUUUCCAAUUUCAAACUCCUUAUCCUAAAUCAGGUUAGUUCAACUAUCAAGAAAUAGGUGUGGCCCUUGGAACAAUUUCGUGCAGAGUGACAUACUACCAUCUGCACGUACACACACACACACAGACACACACACACACACACACACACAGAGAGAGAGAGAGAGAGAGAGAGAGACAGAGAGAGAGAGAGAGAGAGAGAGAAUGUAAGCAAUACUGUUGCCUGAGACAGGUUGUUUCUGAUUAAAUCAGGACACCCUAGCAAAUAUCUCAACACUAAAGACUUCUAAGCACUGGCCAAGUUCAGUAAAUUUCCUGAAAGGAAGAAGUUUAGUUCUCAGGGUGACUUGAAAUGAGAACUUUUUUGCUGUUUUUAUUUUAAAAUGCUUUUGCCUGGGAGAGAGCACUAUGUAGAAUUAAUAUCCCCUUCUGUUUCCACAGCACCACACUGGUCAGCCUAACUUAGGGAAAUUCUUUGUUGCCUUUUCUUCCAAAUACCUGUUAAAGAACUUUUGCUGGGGCUUACGUCUGUAUGAUCAAACUUCAAAUUUUCCAAGGAUCUGAGGCUUCUCUGGAGCGUAGACUGGUGUUGAGAUUUCUACAAUAGUGCAAAGUAUGAUGUUUUUCACAACCAACACAAAUAUGCAUGCUUACAAUUUACCUUCAGUCUGGAAACAUGUUAGUGAAGCAUGAAUUUCUAAUUGGCUACCCACAGAUGGAUGUGGUACUAAGUAUGCUUGAACUGGAUAAUAUAAUUUGAAGGCAUUUCUAAGCGUCAGUUGACAUCUAUUGUAUAACAAAGAAAGAUUAUAUAUGUGCGUAUAUAUAUAUGUAUGCCUAUGCAUAUAUAUAUGUAGUAUAUAUACCUAUACAUAAUAUAUAUACAUCAAUCCAGCUGAACAUAGUAUAUAUGCAUAAUGUAUAGUCUACAUAUGUGUGUGUAUCUGUAUAUUAUAUACCAAUUAAAAUAACAUUCUCAGGCAUUUAUUUUAAGAAACUAACCAAUCUGCUCUUACCUCAUUUCAGAUUCCCCAUGAGUGCUAGAAUAUUUUAUCCUUGGGGAUAAUUAAAUAAGAAAGAUACAAUACCAAUACUGAAUUACCAUUACUGACUCAGUAUUGGAGAAUUGAGAAUUAUUCAAAUGUGUUGAAAUCUCUCUUCCCACCCUCUACAUAGAGAGCAAGUCAGUACACUGAAGUUGUCCCUUGUCUGUGCCCUUGCCUUUUGGUUAAGGACUUUGAUCAGCUGACUUAAGACAACCUCAGAUUUGAGAGACCCUCUGCUUUUUCAUGCCCUAAUUUGGUCUCCAGUGGUUUCUGGUAAAUAAAGUGAAGAUAUACCAAAGGUACCUGUUUCAGCAUGACCAUUGCUUUAUUUGGACUGGUUAACAGUGUUUACUUAAGGCUCCCAGGCAGUGAAUAUCCUUCAUCUCCUAGAUUGCAAUCUGCUAAUAUAAUCACUCCCCAUCUCUUUUGCAUUGUUAGCUGUCUUUGUGUGUGUAUUGUGUGUGUAUGUAAACUACUUGACCUUGUAUUUCAUCAACUUAUACCAAACUACCCCUUUGCUGUUGAUGAAAACAGUAUCCUUUCUACACUUAAGUACCACUUAUUCAAGAGGACUAUUAUGUGAUAAUGUCUCUCAGUUAAUUAGAACAUGGUGUUACUGAGGUAUAAUUUAUUUUUAUAGUCAUUUUAUUAAUGGCAACAGUAAAAUAUACCCAUUACUUGUCAUGGAACAGAUCAUAUGCUGAAUGUUGGACUUGCCUUAUGUUUCUCUGUGCAAGAGUUGACUCUCAUGAUCACUCAAGUGUUUCCAGAAGGGAAAGGUGAGAAGUGAUUGGUCAAUGCCUAAGGCUCUCACAACUUGUGGUCUACAACCCUGUUUGACAGUGAGUUGUUUGGGCCUCAGUAGGAAUUUUCCCACAGAAAGGAUGUUCUUACUGGCAGGCUCCCAGGACCGCCCACAAAUCCAUUUAACCAUAACAGAGCUGACAGCAUUGUCAGGGCUGCAGUUGGCUUCCAAGUGGGAAGUCAGCUUAGUAUUAAUAGCACAGUUCCAGCUGCACUGUGGGUCCAGCAGACUUCUGAUGGACGGGCCUGGGAACCAAGGCAGUCUUUGUAACAUUUAUGGGAAAUGGAGUCCUCGUUGAGAAUGGUGGAAAGACAGUACUGUGGCAGCACAAGGCCCAUGGAUUCUCACUUCCCCUUUCUACUGUAAUCACUUCCAAUGCCACUAUCCAGCAGGAAGAAACCAAGGGGAAUCCUAGAGGAAUCCUUCUCUAGCCUUCAAGUCUGGGGAGAGCCUGCCCUGUUCCUGGCCUGGCUCACUUGGGUCGACUAUUCUCAUGUACAGGAUAUUUGUAAGUUGGGUGUUUCUAGGUCACCUGUAUUUAGUUGUGUGAUAUGAAUGUUUAUUUUAAUAUAGUAACUCUUGAUCCAGGCACAAAUAUAUUAGAAUGUAAGGUUCAUUUUUAUUUUUAGAAGAUUUUUAUUCAUUUUGACUAAUUUCAGUUCUGAUUAUGAUCUUCUGCUUCUAAUAUUUUAAAGCCAUCAUUUUUAUGGAAGUAAAAUGUGUGUGCAUGGUUGUAGUAAAACAUUCAAUUUGUGGUUACAACAGGAAAUGGGAGAAGUGGGUGGUGCAUUAUGUGUGCAUGCGUGUGUGUGUGUGUAAUUCGAAUAUGACCUAAAGGAUGGGUGUGUUUGUUACACCAAGACAUACUUCAAGGAAUUAAAAAUUGUGUUGUACUAAAGGGAGGUCUUUUUCACUAAUGUACUUAGAAGUACUGCAGACCAUUUAAUUUUUUUCCGUUGGUCAGAAGUAUUAUAAUUAAGAGAUUUUUUUCCCCCUGGGAGCUCUUUGAAUACAUAAUUUCUUUUAAAAGAUUUUUAAAGAUUGACCAGCAACCGGUAAAUUAUUUUCUGCUAAUCCCAAGUAAAUGUCUCUGUAAUGUAAGGGCUGCUUUAAAGUUAUUUUAUGGGGUACAUAUAAUACAAAGGAAAAUAACUUGUUUAUUAAGUUGAUUUUCUUUAUUUUUUCAUGAUUCACAAAUUGUCAGAUUAAUGCUGUUUGGGACAGUAGAAAUGUGGAAACAGGUAAAUGAAUAACAAUUUUAAAGUGUAAAUCAACUAAAUUGUAUAUGAAACCCUGCUGGAUUCUUAGGUGGUCUCUUGAUCUUUCUAAACCACACUUCUCUCUUCUAGGAUUCUAUUUUGCGAUAUAGUCAUAAACACAAAAGGAAGAUUUCAGCACCAAAUUAUAUGCAUAUUUAAAAUAUUGGGCCCCUUCAUCCCCUUCCAAACAUUGGAAAACUCUGUGGAGUUUGAUUCACCAAGACAUGGGAAAUUUUUCUUCCAGAAUAUUUUUAAGAGAAAAUUCUAUUUUCUGGUUAUGAAUGUAGAAUUAUAAUACAGAUAAUCUACCAUAUUUAAUAAGCCUCUAUAGCUAAGUCUAGGUUCUCUUUAAAAGAUCUUGUUUUUUCACCCAGCCCCAUAGUUACAUAUUUGAGGGAGCGAAACUGAGCAUACAGGAUUUUUGGAGUGACAGGUCCAUUUGAAAUCAUUCUGAUCCAACAUCUUCAUUUUAUAGAAAAGGGAACUGGAGCCCAAAGGGGUUCAAUGACUUGAGCAAGGCUACUGCUGGUGAUGGCAAUAGUAGGAGUGGCCAUCAUUUCCUGAAGUUCUUGUUUCUGGGUUUCCUUAGGUUUUAUUUUACCCUCACAACAACCUUGUAAGGCAAGGAGCCAUAUUCCAGUUUUGUAAUGAGAAAUCUGAAGUUUAGGAAGUCCUUGCUGCUCAAAAUCAACAGGCAUUAAGAGGCAGAGCAAGAAUCCACGGAUUCUGGAGGCCUGGUGGCUUCUGCCUCAGGGUAUUUUCCAUUGUGCCAGACAUUUCCCAGGCCUAAGUAGAAAUACGAGAAGCGGCCGGGCGCAGUGGCUCAAGCCGGUAAUCCCAGCACUUGGGGAGGCCGAGGCAGGUGGAUCACGAGCUCAAGAGAUCGAGACCAUCCUGGUCAAAAUGGUGAAACCCCGUCUCUACUAAAGAUACAAAAAAUUAGCUGGGCAUGGUGGCGCGUGCCUGUAGUCCCAGCUACUUGGGAGGCUGAGGCAGGAGAAUUGCCUGAACCCAGGAGGCAGAGGUUGCGGUGAGCCGAGAUUGCACCAUUGCAUUCCAGCCUGGGUAACAAGAGUGAAACUCCGUCUCAAAAAAAAAAAAAAAAAAGAAAUACAAGAAGCAUUCCUUCUUUAUACAUGUUUACUUUUAAUAUAUCAAUAGUAUCUCUAAGCAAUCACCUUGGUUACUGAAUCUGUUGGGUAGUAGUGUGUGGGGUAUUGGGUCUUCUUACCUUAGUUUUUCUGACAAAAAAUAAUCUCCCUCCUACUGGAUUUCAUAAUAUUCCAAAAUUUGUCUUUAGCUGAUGCCUCAACAUAUACUUUGAAAUGUCUAUUUUAUUUAGAUCGGAAGAAGAGUAUACUUCUCUUCUCUCAUUCAGUGAUUCAUUCAUUUAUUUAUUCACUACGUAUGUUUUGAAUACUUACUAUGUGCAGAUACUGUUCUAGGCUUUGGAGAUAGAGUUCUGAACAAAACAGAAACAAAUCCCUGCCCUGAUGGUACUUUCUUUCUAGAGGGCCAAAGGAUGGCUAAUACAUACAUAAUAAAAAAAAUAAGGUAAGUGAAAUUGUGAUAAUGGUGAUAGAUACACAACAACAACAACAACAAAAAAACAAAAAAACAAAGAAAUUUGUUUAAUAAGGAGAAGAAGAUACCAGGAAGACAGGGAAGGAGUUACUCCAAAAGGACUUCAUCGAGAGGGGGAAAUUGGGGAGUGUGUCUUAUCACAUUGUCAAUUCAGCAAAAAAUGCAGUGUCUAUUAAGUCUUCAAUCCCCCACCAACAGUAAAAUGCUUAUCCUAACUCUGUUUCUAUCCGCAUAUCUUCCCAUCCACCCUUUAUGAAACCUAUUGUUAUCACUAUUAUACAGAAAAACAGGAAUAACAGGAGUUAUCCACAGAUAUAAGGGCAAUACAAUUUGAGAGUAAGAGAAGCUUAGUGCCUGGUCCACUUUUCCCAAACAUCUAAUUUAUUAGAAAAGGAGCCUGAGUCUCAGAAAUGUUGAAGGAGAGGGGAGGCUGGGGCGGGAGAGUUGCUUGAGCUCAGGACUUGGACACCAACCUGAGCAACAUAGCAAGACCCUGUCCGUUAAAACAUUUUUUUUAAAUUAGCAGCUUGUGGUACCCACCUGUAGUCCCAGCAACUUGGGAGGCUGAGGCAGGAGAAUCGCUUAAGUCCAGUAGGUUGAUGCUGCAGUGAGCCAAGGUCACAUUGCUGCAUUCUAGCCUGGGUAACAGAGCGAGACCCUGUGUCAAACCAAAACAAAGCAAAACAGAAAAAAAAAAAAAAAACAUUCACGUGACUAAAUGACAACCUCAGAUCAUAAUGCAAGGUGCUUAUUAUUUUAUUUCCAGUAAAUGAUGUGCUGAGUUCUCAUGGUGGGCCAAAUGAUUGAGCUGGAUCCAGGGACCUCAGCACUGGCUUCAGAGGAGAUGGUCUCUGGCCUGGAGGCACAGAGAAGGAACUGAUACAGACAAAGCCUUCUGAUCUCAAACCAGUGUUCCUUCCCCAACCCCAUGAUGGGGACUCUUCUCUGUUUUCUAGGGUCUCAGAGGGUGACAAUGGGGUUACCAUUUAUAUUUGUACUUCCCACUCUGUACUUCAAGUAUGUCAUAGGUUAAAUGAAACUAUCUGAGCUGACCUAUGAAUUAAAACCACUGUAUCAUUAUGUCUGUGGGAAAAUGCAUAUGGACUCUGAAACAUCCAGCUAUCUUAACAGACUUUCAGAAUUGGGGAGGAUCUAAGUUGGAAAAUAGAAGCAAAGAGCACUUAGUGUCCAGUGAGGCAAACUGGCUGCCCAGCCCCUAAGACAUUGACUAUCUCCUAGAGAAAACACAGUCCUCUAUAGUCCUCAAGGAAACAUCAGAUGAGAUGCGAAUAAGUAGUAACAGUUUCUUCAAAACUGUAUGGAUAAAGUUCUCUUCACUAUGAAGACAAACUGAUAAAUAGUCAUGAUGGGCUAUGGGGAUCUAUCGAGAUUGCAACUCAUUUAAUCUGUAUUUACUACUUUACCUGUGGGUUGGACUCAUGUUUCUAUUAAUGGUAGUAGUCAGCAUAGUGCCACAAAUGCAUGCGAAAUGGCGUGGAGUGGAAGGACAUGUUCUCUUAGUUAUUCUGUAUACUAGCAAGUGUCGUUUUCCCAUCUACCUUCCAUAAUGGAAAUGCCAUGGACAUUUCUGUUCCUGUUCUACAAUCCUAUCAUCGCCUGAUUGAUUGGAAUCAUAUUGCUAUAUAAGGACUUCAAGCAUAUAUAAGCAUUCAGAGGAAACAUGAGGUUAGGUUGAACUGCAGUGGAUGCUCUACCACGGUUCAAGGGAAAGAUGAUUAUGGUUGCCUUGGCAACCAUAGCUCUGCACUCUCUGUUUUAUUACAUACUCUUUUCCUAUUUGGGAAUACUUUUGAAGAGAAACAAAAGACAAAAUGUUAGUAAGGUCUCAUUUUCAAUUUAUGAGGCUUCUGGGAAUGAUAGAGUUUUAUGUUACUACAAAAACAUCUCAAUUUCUUAAAAUUUCCCCUAACAUUGGAAAGCCCAGGCAUAUGAAAUGAACCAAAAAUAAGCUUUUACUUAUGUCAAAACACAAAUAUCAUUUUUGCUCUCAUUAGAGGUAAUUAUUUUGUAAGGACUGAAACAAAAAGAUUACUUUUCUAUUUCUCUCUAGCAUACAGCUGUGACUUCUAUUUUUCUAUAAAAAGGGAAAUAUUUUUGCUUGCAAAUUUUCCUUAGUAUUUUUACCUGUAAUACUGUAAUAUAGUUAUUCAACUACAAAUAGGUAUAUAAAUAAAAUAGUCUUACUCUAGGAAAUGUCUGGGUUGAGAGACUGACUGUCAAACAGUGGUAUUUUAACAGUGUUAAAUUUUAAUUCCCAACACUUCCUCUUUUAGGUUUCCUUUGUAGACCCCACAAGUUUUUAAUUUUUUAGAAAAGAAAAGUGGUCAUAUUUGGGUCUCUGUGAUUGUUUUUUUCUGUAUUAAAGCAAAAAUAUGGUAUAAAUGUAUACUACUGCAUAGCUAUAAAAUAAAAGUCAUUGAGAAAUAUAUUUUAUUUUGUCCACUCACUUGUUAUUAAGUCUGUCUUUUCUUUCUUUCUUUCUCUCUCUCUCUUUUCCUUUUUUCUUUUCUUUCUUUUUCCUUGAGAUAGAUCUCACUAUGUCACCUAAGCUAGAGUGCAGUGGCAUAAUCUUGGCUCACUGCAACCUCCAUCUCCUGGCUUCAAGUGGUCCUCCCACCUCAGCUUACCCAGUAGCUGGCACUAUAGGCACCCAUCACCAUGCCUGGCUAAUUUUUAUAGAGACAGCAUUUCACCAUGUUGCCCAGGCUGGCCUCGAACUCUUGGGCUCCAGCCAUCCUCCCAUCUCGGCCUCCCAAAGUGCUGAGGUUACAGUGGCUCUAUGGAAAAAAUUUAGGUUAAUACUCUAGGACAGGAGUUAGGGAACUUUUCUGUAAUGGAUCAGAUGGUAAGUGGCUCAGGCUUUUGAGGCUAUACAGAUUUUGUUACAACUACUCAACUCUGAUGUUGUAGCUGAAAGAAGCCAUAGAUAAUAUGCAAACAAAUGGACUGGGCUGUGUUAAAUUAAUACUGUAUUUACGAAACAGACAAUGGACUGGAUUUGUCCUGGGGGUGUAGUUUGCCACCUUCUACUCUAGGAGAAUAAUUGUUUUGCUUACUUAUCUGUCCUCAGUCUGCAGGGAAGUAUAGUGCUUCGGGCAAAUUGCUUCUUUUAUAAUAUAUGCCUAAACUAGUGCAGUGGUGUAUACCUGUAAUCCCAGCUACUUGAGAGGCUGAGUUGGGAGUAACACUUGUGCCCCCAGGAGUUUGUGUCCAGCCUGGGCAGCAUAGAGAAACCCUCAUCUCUUAAAAAAAAUUUUUUUUUUGCCUAAAAGGCCAUCUUUUCACACUGCCUUUUGUGUAAAAUGUCCCAGUUGUUACCAUAUUGGUUCUGUUAGAGAGAAAGGCAGGGGGUUACACACUUUUGCAACUCAUUAAGGAGGGUAGAUAUCAAUAAUAAUUUCCUUAGUUUAAAAGCUGUUAGAACAUAUAAAAAAAAUCAGCUACUAAGAUUUCCUUACACACUGGCUGAACUGCUCAGUUAGAACUGCUCUUGAAUAUCCAAGGCCUGAUGCGCCCUCCCUGCAUAAGCUGGCAAUAUAAACUGAGGUAUACACUGUGGGAUUCGGCCUUGGACCCCAGCUGCUGUCCCCAUCCCAGUGGGGUCUCCAUAGUCACCUGGCACCAACAAGAACUUGCUUUCUUCUUUAUUUUCCUUUGAAGAAUUCACUGGUGCUUUGUUCAAACUGAUUUUAACAUCCCCUUUGAAUUUUAAUCAGAUACUUCAAAGAAAAGUAUAGAAAAAUGAAAACAAAUACCUAUAUAUUUGUUACUCAGAUUUAAUAAUGGUUAACAUUUGUUAACUGCUUUGGAUAUUUUUAUCAUUUUAAAAAUAAAGAAUACACUUACAGACACAAUUGUAACCCAAGAUUUUUCCCCAUUCCAACAAUUUCUAAAGAGGCUAUUGUCAGAGGAAUCUGAAUUCUUUUCCACUUAUUAAAAUUGGUUAUUGAGAAGCAAAAGAAUAGAAUAUCGAUUUUAUAGUAUAUAUUCAGACCAUCAUUGGUGCAUAGUAUGACCAAUUUGAUCCAAUUUAUAUGGUUUUCUGCCCAUAGAAGACUGAAUAAUACCAUGAAUCUACUCCCAAGAGAGACUUAGGGAGUACAUCACAUCCCUUUCCUAUUGGGAAUGGGGUAUGCAUCUAAGAGACAAUAAAUAUAAAUCAUUCUAAUUCAUAAUAAAGAGCUGGAUACAUUUUUCACUUUCAGUGGCAACUUUGAAAAGUGCAUUAUUUUUCUCUGCUGCCUUUAACAUACUUAUUGCCUUGUGGUACAAAUGCUUUCAUAAAUGUUCUCUCAUAUGAUCUUGUGUGGUGGUUAGAACAGAUGAUGUUAACAGCUCUUUCCCAGGUCAGGGCAUGGAUGUACUGAGAUGCCUGUACAGUGCCUGGCAGUCUUGGCUGCACCUUUGUACCACUUACUGAGCUUUGAAAAGGCACUGAUCCUGAGCCUAUCCACAGAGGUUAAAGCCAGCCAGGCUGCAGGGCAUCAAUAUUCUUUUUUUUUUUUUUUGAGACAGAGUUUCACUCUUGUUGCCCAGGCUGGAGGCCAGUGCACAAUCUUGGCUCACUGCAACCUCUGCCUCCCGGGUUCAAGUGAUUCUCCUGCCUCAGCCUCCCAAGUAGCUGGGAUUACAGGCACCCACCACCACCACUCCCAGUUAAUGUAUGUAUUUUUUUCAGUAGAGAUGGGGUUUCACUGUGUUGGCCAGGCUGAUCUCGAACUCCUGACCUCAGGUGAUCCACCCACCUCUGCCUCCCAAAGUGUUGGGAUUACAGGCGUGAGCCACCGCAUCCAGAUGGGCAUCAGUAUUCUUAAUUGAUUCUACUGUACUGCCGAGGUUGAGAACCCCCAGUGGACCAGUGGCUCCCAACUAGGGACUAUUUGCCCCCACAAGGGGACAUUUGACAAUGAGACAUAUUUGAUUAUCACAAUUGAGAAGGGGUAUCCCCUGGCAUCUAGUGGGUAGAGACCAGGGAUGCUGCUAAAUAUCCUACAGUACCCCACCAACAUAGAAUUAUCUGGCCCCAAAGGUCAAUAAUGCUUAUGUUGACUAACCCUGAUUUAAGCUGGACUGAAGUCCCUCUGACACUAAAUCAUAUUGUUGUUUCCUUAGUCUCAAGUUGCUAGGUUAUUCAAAUUAGUCAUCCUGUUAUUAUUGCUGCUAAUAAAAUAUAUUUUAAGUAGGUUGCUCUUCAGAACUACAGUGUUUACAAUGACUUUUUAGUUUAUCAGGACCAAGUGAUCUUGUGUCAUAACCAUACUAGGAUAGGCAAAAAUUCUUAUAUUUCUUCAAUUACUUUUGUCAAAAUACGAAACAAGCAAACACACAAAAAAUAACAUACCAUCAAAAAGAAGAGCUAUUUCUCAACAUAAAUCGCUCUGUAUGUAUUAUCCCAAAUAAGCGAUUUGUAUCAUAUAAAGCAGUGGAUUUCACACUUGAGAGUACAUUGACGUCACCUAGAGGACUUGGUAAAAUACUGACUGCUGGACUCAUCUCCAGAGUGCCUGGUCAGUAGGUCUGGGGUUGGGUUCAAACAGUCACAUUUCUAAUAAGUUUCCAGCUAAGAUUCAUAUUUCUUAUUAUGAAUUGUUAAUUGUCAAAGUAUAAUCCCUAGGCAAGAAAUAUGAAUUUCUCUAUAUUAGCAUGUCAAAUGAAUAUUAACGCAGGAUCAUCUAUUAUAGCCACAGGUAUAUAUUCCUAAACAUUCAAAAAUCAUUUUAUCAUAGUAUACAAAUAACUUAAAAUAUGAUUCAAGAAGUACAGAGGGCUUCCUAUUUCUACAGUUACAAUCAGAACAGCCGUAUACAAUCAGACCUUUUGCUACCACUUGUAAGAGCAGCAAGAGCUAGCUACAGCAAGUGUUGCUUAAUAACAAGCCUAAGAGUGUUAAGAAUGCACAGAAUCUACCUGAUCAGAAAUGAAGGGGUGCCAGUUCACUGAGAUGCUUUUAAAUGCGUCUGGUCAAUGAGAAAGUUGAUAUUUUCUGUUUCUUGUGUAUCCUUUGAAUUAUAUAUAAGUGCUUAAGUGAAAAAAAUGUCUUGGUCCAAAUUCCCUUAGCUUUUGAUACAUUAACAUGUUUAUGAAAGUGGAUGGGAUAUCUAAAAUUUUAUUGAAGUAUAUUGCCUCUCUAUAAAAUAACAUAUCUUAAUUCCUUAAGUAAUCAAAAUAUUUGGCAGAGGUGGCUAAAUAAUGUUAGAUUCAAGUAUGGAAUUUGAAACCCAUUUCAAGCAUUUCAAGAACAAGUCAGUGAUUCAUCCAGUCAAUCAGCCAAAGACACUUUAAUUACAUUUGUCACAAUAUAAAACAAGCAAACAAAGUUUAGAAGACAGACAGUAGUGACAUGGUGUUUUGUAAAAAAACAUUUCCAUAGUACUAGUGCCCCCCUUUUGUUGUCAUCCAGUAGAAAGAAGUGUAUACAUUUGUGAAAAAUGCAUGAGAAUAAUAAAAAUGUUUAAAAAUCCACAUUUUCUCCAUUUAGAUGGACUUUUCUUAAACCAGUCAAAAGUUAGAUGUUACAGUGUAUUUUUUAGGAGUAAAAAUCUAAACCCCAAAGUGUCAGAAUUCAAGAGUACCCGUCCCUUAUUUCCUACAAGAGCUCAUCUGAAUCCCUUGAUAGUAAAGAUUUUCUUUCUUUCUAGAACCUGACAUGAUUUCUAGUACAUACCAAGUGAUAAAUACAUUUACUUUCAUUUUAUAAAUUAGGUAAAUUCACUUUCAUUGAAUUUACGUAAAUAGCUGUAUGAGAGGUCCAUGCAUUUCUAUAUUUCAUGAAUUUUGAAUUAUAUAUUUCAGUCCCAUUUGAAGUUAGAAUCCUUAUAAAGAAAAUCCUGAAGAGGAUCCAGACUGUAGUUUCCAAUGUGCAAAUUUUUAAUUGUGAACUAGAGAAUGAAAAUAAAGGAAGGUUAUUGGAAAAUUUUCCAAGAACCAAGCCUUUCUGUUGUGCUGAUAUUGAUGAUGUAUGGCAGUCAGUAAUGAGACUACCAAAGGUGAACUGAAUAAUCCCAUACCAUAAAAUGUUACAUAAACUUUAAACUGCUAAGAAAAUCUAAACAUUAAAAAAGUACCUAUUCGCAAAGUUCCGCUGUUGUGUGUUUAAGAGCAAAUUGGGAGGUUGCUAUGGCAUUACUUAUGCGUGCAUGGCAACAGAGUGAACUCAGUGUUUCAGCUUGAUAAAAGAGGAAAUUAGCUCACCAUUUCCCUUCCCCAAAUCAGAUUCAGAUAUCCAAAUAUUUCGUUUUGAAAUGGUAUAUCCAUCAACACGUUCUAAUGGAUGAAAGUCAAUAAUGGGGGUGGGGUAGGGGUGGGGGAAAGGACAUAAGAUGAAAUUUGUAUGUCAUGUGCUUACUUUAGAAAAUGCAACUUGUCUCUAACCAGUCUAUUCAUAGCUCUGCAUCCUUCUUCCCCCUUGAUAGGAUGGGGUUUCUCAGUGCGCAUCUGUUAGGUGAAUAUACAAUGAUGAGUAACACUUUGGCAAAAGACAGCAAUUUAUCAGCCCAUAUAACUUUGUUCUAAUGAAAGUGGAUCAUCCUGGAAUUUGAGGAAGAAACAUUGUUCAGCUGUGAAACUAUAAUUCCCUGUGUGUAACAGCCCUCCAGGGAAGGAGUAGAUUUUGCCAGCAUAAUAUGUGAAGUUUAGUCAUUAUCAACUGCACAAAGCAGAGGUCAGGCGUGGGUGUACAUAUGGGAGGCACCAUUGUGAAAUCAACCCACAGCCACUGCCCUGCUGGGUGAUCCAAUACAAACAGAGCCAAAUGUCACGAAUAAAUGCUGACAUUUUAUCACAUGAUUAGUUUAAAUAUUACUACUGUGUCUUUUCUUGUAUUGUUUAUCUUUCACAUCUUUAUUUUGUUUCCGGUUUCCUUUCUUUCAACUGAUAAAUGAAAAAUAGGGAAGUAUGGUUUGAGUCAGUACUUUGACCAUGAACACAGGAAGUUAACUGAACCCACCACCAUCAAAAAAAAAAAAAAAAAGGCUCCAAAUUGUGAAUCUUACAUUUGUUCUGGAUUGACAUGGGUUUGGGAAUCAUAAUUUUAUUAUUUUUUAAUUUUACAUAGAGUAAAAUUGACCUUCUGGGUGGUAUGGUUCUAUCAGUUUUGACAAAUACAUAUAUCACAAUUGUGAUACAGAAGAAUUCUCUCAUAUCCCACCCCCACCUCUGCCACCACCACUAAGUCUCCUCAUUCUGCCUUUUUAUAGUCAACCCCUGUUUUCACCCUCAGGCCCUGGCAACCAUUGACCUAUUGGAACUGUACUAAUAUGACUGUUUUCUUCCACUCUAUCCAUUCAUGCAGCAGCCAUUUAUUGAUAAUCUACUAUAUGCUGAGCUCCAUUUUAGGUGCUAAGGAUGAAAUGGUGAACAAGACUGACAUAGAUCUAUCUAGAAACAAGAUAAUAAACAGCCGUAAAUCAGUAAUUCCAAAUUGUGGCAAAUGAUGUGUAAAGAACAGAAAUAUUUCUGUGAUAACGGAUAUCCAAAGACAAAAUCUAUUUUAGAUAGCGUUAGAAUUUUGCUCUGAGACGGCAGCAUAUAACCUGAGGACUGGAGGAGGAGAAGAAACCAGCUAUGUGAGAUGGGCAAGGGUUUGACACAUGAGGUAAUCAUUUCGAGCAAAGGGAACAGUGUAUACAAAAGAGAGUUGGGAGUCUAGUGAGUGAAGGGAGCAAUGGCAUGGUCUACUGUGGAUAGAUAGGCAGAGCCUCACUAAGGGGUGUGUACUUUAUUGCAUUUAGAAAAUCCGUGGUAGAUUAGCAAGAAUGUAUACAAGGGACCAGUUGAUUUGCAGCCACCAUCCAGUUGACUGUUAAUGGAAGAUUGGGCUUUGAAGCAGCUGUGGAGUUGGAGAAGGGAUAGAUUUGAAAUAUAUUUUAGAAGUAUAAGCAACAGGACUGUGUGUUUAAUUAGAUAUGGCAAGUGGCUGGUGAAGGAAAAGGGAAUCAAAUGUGACUCUCCAGGUCUUGCUUGAGCAGCUGGGUGAGUGAUGAUAUUUACUAACAUGAGUAAAAUAGAGAGGAACAAGAUUGUAUUGGGGGAAAAUUUAAAUGCUGGGGUUUUGGGCAGGCUGAAAUAGAGAACCCCAUUAGACAUCCAUUUGGAAAUGUGAGACCCCUAGAUGGGUACAUGUAUGUAGAAUUCAGAGGAAAGCUCAGAGCUGGAGAGAGAAAUUUUUGUCAUUUUUAAACUUUUAAUUAUUCAUUAUAUAAUUAAUAUAUAAUUUAAAUAUAUUUAUUGUUAAUAUAUUUUGAUAUGUUAACAUUAAUAUAAAAAUACAUUAACAAUUUGUUCACUGAUAUUUACUGAGGGCCCACUGUGAGGGAGACUUAGGAAAUCGGGGCAUGAUGCUGAGUGCAAGCCUGCAUGAUCUGAGGCAGGCUGGCAGGAGAGAUAGGAUUUCGUUAACAGUCACACAGAUUAUGUGUAAAAUUAAAGUGACCUCAGUACCACAAAGGAGGAGAGGGUACUUUGAAAGGGCACAAGAGGGAGAUUUGACUGAAUCUGGGUGGAGGUGAGGGUCAGGAAUGGCUUCCCUGCACAUUAAAGAAUGAGGAAGUGGGAGAGGAUAUCAGGUUAAAGAAAGAACAUGAAUAAAAGGCGGUGUGGUAGAAGACCAGAGAUUUUGGUCCUCAGAUGCACUGUGAUUCCAGUUUAGAAGUCCAGAAGGGUAUCCCAGGAGCAUCUCAAGCACUUUAGGCAAUUCACAUUCCUUCAGCAAAUAUUUGUUGAGCACCUGGAGUGUGCCUGAGAUUCUUUCAGGUGUUGGGAAUUCAGCAGUUAGUGUGCAAAGGUUCUUUCCCUCAUGAAGCUUGUUUCUUUCUGGUGGGGCUGAUUCAGGAGGUUCACAAAUUCCAGGCACAUCUUGAGAAGGAUUGACUAAGAGAUGUUGUCCUGGAACAGAGCCAUGAGGAGUGCCAGCAUUUAGAGCUCUAAAGGAGCAGAAGCAACAUCAAAAAACCUAGAGCAAGUGGCUAGUGAAGGGAAAAGAGAGGAAAGGGGUGCAUAUAACAAAAACUGGGGGAGAAAACUGAUUCCAGAUGGCAAGGCUAAUGAAUGGCCAGCUAGGUUUAGUGGUGUUGAGGAGUCAAGUAGAAUGAAAACGGAACAGUUCCCCUUCAGCUUUACAACAUGGCAGCAUUGGGAAUUUUUACCAAACCACUUUUAUCUGAAUAAUGGAAGUAGAAAACAGAUUGAGUUGCUUUAAAGAGUGUCUGGGAAGUGAAAACUGAGAAAGUGAGAAGACGUUGGCAACUGCAAAGUGAGAAAUUGCUGAUGACUUUGGAGAAAUUUGCCUUCAGUUUGGGACUUCAUUAUUGUCCUGCAGGAAAGCGUCUUCUGGUAGUAGUGAGAUUAACUUACUUUUGCCUAACUUGUCUAUCUAAAAGGAAGAAAGUGGUAAUACAUUAUAAGAUUGAGAUUGCUGAGGACGAAAUAAGUAUAUGCAUGCAGUGGAUACUCACUAAAAAUAAGGGGUUGUGUUUAUAGUGUUUUAAGUUUACCAAUGCCACCCACCUGACAUGAAACUUUUAGUAAUUAUCUUAUUGUAUUUGAAUUAUUAACUGAUACUCAAGGGAGGGAAUAGAAUAGGUUAAGCAAAUUGCCCUAAUAAUGCUACUCAUAAGCCAUGGCCCUUGGAGAAUUUGAAUCAUAUUUGCUAUGUUUUGGGCAUGGUUUGUUUGUCUCCAUCAAAUCUCAUGUUGACAUUUGAUGAUUGGCAUGGUGAUAUUGGAGAUGGGGUCUAGUGGGAGAUAUCUGGGUUACAGGGAUGGAUCCCUCAUAAAUGGCUUGGCGCCCUUCUCAUGGCAGUGAGGGCAUUCUCACUGUCUUGAGACUAGAUUGUUUCUCAGGGGAAAUGAUAGUUCCUGCAAGAGUGGGUUGCUAGAAAGCCAGGACGGCCCUGGGUUUGGUCCCUCUUUGCACGUGCCUACUUCCCUUUGACCUUCUCAAACAUAUUUUAAUGCGGCACAAAAGCUUUUGAUGGAAUCCAAGCAGAUGCCAGUGCCCUCUAUCUUGUAAAGCCAGCAGAACUUUGAGCCAAGAUAAACCUCUGUUCUUUAUUAACUACCCAGCCUUAGCUAUUCCUUUAUGGCAACACAAAAUGGACUAAGACAACAUAUUUUGACUUGGUUCUAUGCUAUGUUUGCUCCACUUGGUGUUGUAAUUUUAUUCCCCUGUAGGAAUUGUAUCUGCUUAAGUGAAGACUGAGUAUUCAUCUGCUUUGUAUCUCCACAUCACAUUGUAUUUAACCCAGUGCCUGGCAUAGUUUUCAUUUGUGAGUGGAAUUGAUUUCUCAGCCCUUGGCCCAACCUUCUUGGGCUGCUCUUGUUUUUGAAGCUCCAGUUUAUAUUCAGGAGACAUGCUUUGGACUUCAGACCCCAAAACUAAUUCAUGUACACAUAUUGUCAGUGGAGAAAGUGGGAGAGAGUAAAGGGUGGAGAUAGCUCUUGAGCAUAACAAUAGAAAUGGUAUGAUGUUAGCAGAAAAUUAAUACGUGCACAUUUGGUUGUAUUGAGAAAUAAAUACUCUAACAUUAUCAGGAAGCAAAUAAAACUGAUAAUUGCUAGGUGUCAAAUAUAUGUAGUAGAUAAUGUAAAAAUGCAUAUGUGGUGUAUGUAUACUAUGUAAUUGUAUAUUCUAUUAUAUAUCACAUACAAUGUACAUUUAUAUAUCUAUAGAUAUCUACCCUUGUUCAUUUUUUCCUCCAAAAUGAAAUACUUUUACUAUCAGAGAGUACCAAGUAAGAAUAUUACCAGGACACUUUGGGAGGCCAAGACGGGUGAAUCAUGAGGUCAAGAGAUUGAGACCAUCCUGAUCAACAUGGUGAAACCCUGUCUCUACUAAAAAUACAAAAAUUAGCUGGGCAUGCUGGUAUGCACCUGUAGUCCCAGCUACUCAGGAGGCUGAGACUGGAGAAUUGCUUGAACCCAGGAGGUGGAGUUGCAGUGAGCCGAGAUUGUGCCACUGCACUCCAGUCUGGUGCAACAGAGUGAGACUCUGUCUCAAAAAAAAGGAAUAUUCCCAGGAGGGUCAGAGAUUGGGAUGCAAUCUCAGAACCCAUUAAAGAGCCUGGGGACAGGUGGGCUGGAGGAGUCCUGUGGAGAGCUUGAAAGCUGUCUCUCGCCUCUUGAAAGAAAGGACUAUGGGGGAUGAAGUAGACUGAUUCAGUGUACAUCUCCUUGGGAUAUUACUUACUGACUUUUAGGCAUUACCUAGGACAUGCAUUUAGGGAAUGUUCCAGUAUCAUGCUUGGUUGCAUUAUUUCCCUGUAGUGGCAAAAAAGGCCUGCAGAAGCCGUGCAUUCUGGGUCAUUACUAGAACCCAGAUGAGUAUUGCUUGGGAAAUGGAGAAAGAAAAUGGAAAGAGAGCACUCCAGAAUUCUUUCCCAAAUCUCUUGGGUUGAAACAUCUUAAAUUGCUGUUCUGUUUUUAUAUUUCCAAGACGGUCAAAUAGUAAUCAUUUCAUGCAGCUCCACCAAAAAGUAUGAUCCAGCUACUAUAGAGAUGUGGACGUUGGAAGGCCUUCUUGUUGGUUUAAAGUUUUGCCAAUUGGUAGACAUCUGGGGCUGUAUAUUAAGGUCUCUUGAUUUUCUGAGCCAGAGCAAAGGCAUUCUUGUUCUGUCUCUAUUUGAAUAGUAUCUUGGGUGAUAGAGUGCCAGCAUCAUCUAUUUAUUACCCUUAAUGCUCACUGACUAUGUGAAAAGAAAGGAAAAGACCUUUAAAGCUGGGGUGAUUGUCUAGACAGUCCUAAAAUAGCUGUUCCAGGUGCAAAGGAAGCCAUAAAAUGCAGACAAAGCAUGAGGCUCCUUUGGCAAAAAUACAGUGUUUUUGAACUCUCAUAGGCUCCUUGUAAAUUAUGAAGUAGAAAAUGGCCAGGAGACGAGAUUCCAAUAAUUAUAAUCAUUAGUUAUUUUAAAUUACCAUCACUUAUUUCACACAGAGGCAUUUUCUGUGUGCUAAAUUAUAUUUAAAAUAUUUUAAAAUAAUUAUUUGGAUAAUUCAGAGCUGAAAUAGUCCAGGCUGAACUAUUUAGCAAGCUGAAACACCUGUGCAAGCUUUAAUUCAAAAUAUACUGAAAAUUGACUUCAUUUUUCACUCCACUGUGGAGGUCUUGUAAUAUAAAACAAGAACAGUACCUUCAGUAGGAGCCCAUGCCCCAUUGGUCUGCAUCUUCUUGCUCUCUACUCUGUCCUGUGGCUACCCACUGUGCUCUCAAGGUCAACCAUGACCCUGCUGCACUCCAGCCAUGUCCUCUAGAGGAUCUCUGCCACCUUUCACCCAGGCCUCCCCACCAUGGCCUCUGCCAGAGCCAGCUCCUUGUGGGCCCAUGUGGAAAUGAGACCUCCAGAUCCCAUCUUGGGAGUCACCAAAGCCUUUAAGAGGGACAUCAAUAGGGAAAAGAUGAGUCUGGGAGUUGGUACCUACUGGGAUGAAAAGACACCCAGUUAGAUCCCCAUAAAAAAUUUAGACAAAGAAUACCUGCCCAUUGUAGGAUAAGCUAAAUUUUGCAAGGCAUCUGCAGAACUAGCCCUGGGUGAGAACAGCAAACUGUUGAAAAUUGGCCACUUUAUCACUGUGAAGAUCAUUUCUGGAACUGGGGCCUUAAGAAUUGGAGCCAGUUUUGUGCAAAGAUUUUUAAAGUUUUUGAAGACAGAUGUCUUUUUGUCCAAACCACCUUGGGGAAAUCACACACCUCUCUUCAGGGUUGCUGGCAUACAGCUACAAGGUUAUCAGUAUAAUGGCCCCAAGACUUGCAGUUUUGACUUCACAAGUGCUAUGGAGGACAUUUCAAAAAUACCAGAGCAAAGUGCUCUUCUCCUGCGUGCCUGGGACCCUCAUGCAAAGCAGUGGAAGGAAAUAGUAACAGUGGCAAAGAAAAAGAAUCUCUACAUUCUUUGAUAUGGUCUACCAAGGCUUUGCCAGUGGUGAUGGUAACAAGGAUGUGUGGGCUGUGUGCUACUUCAUUGAACAGGGCAUUCACGUUUGUCUCUGCCAAUCAUACUCCAAGAACAUGGGCUUUAUAUGGUCAGCAUGUGGGAGCCUUCACUGUGCAAAGACAGUGAAUGAAACCAAAAGAGAAGAGUAACAGCUGAAGAUCCUGAUCUAUCCCGUGUAUUCCAAUCCUUCUCUCAAUGGGGCCUGUAUUGCCUCUACCAUUCUGAACAUCCUGGGUUUGCAAAAAUAAUGGUUGCAAGAAGUGAAAAUCAUGGCCAACUGCAUUAGUAGCGUGCAGAUUCAGCUGAUCUCCAACAGUAAGGAGGGUUCCUUGCACAUCUGACAACACAUGCCUGACUAAAUUGGCAUGCUUUGUUUCACAGGGCUAAAGCCUGAACAGCUGGAGAAGCUAACCAAGAAGUUCUUUAUCUAUAUGGCAUAGGAUGGCUGCAUCUCUGUGGCAGGGGUCACCUCCAGCAACAUGAGUUAUUUUGUCUGUGCCAUACACCAGGUCACCAAGUAAUGUCCCUGGUGUGAGGGAACAGAUACAACUUUUCUGUUUUCAGCUGCUGCUACUAUGAGCUUCACAUGGAGGAUGAGGGAGGGUAGAUGCUGGUAAGUAGAUCAUUUAUUUCAACCACAAUGCAUAACACUGAGUGAUUGAAUGCAUUUCUCAGAAAAGAACAUGUAAUGACAUUGGGCAGAGGCAUCUGUGACUGGUGUCUGGAACUUUGUCACUCUAAGCCAAACUCUCCCCCAUCUUUCUAUUUUCAACUUUUCUCAAAGGGUUUACAUGUGCAAGAAACUCACAGCACCAAGAAACCUGCCAAUUAUGCCACUAUAAUAUUUCAGAAGCUUUAACUGAAGCAUCUUAAGUUGUCAGGGUUCUUCAUGAGAAAUAGCACACAUUAGAGGCUUUGAGAGAAGACCUAGUCCUGUCAUUAACAAUUGGUCUCAUGUAUGUCUUCCCAUGAUGGAGCAACCUUAUCAACAGAACAUAUUGCAGAAAUUGUGUUUUAUGAGAAUAAAUGAGUCCGCUGACACUGCAGCAAGGAAAAUAAAAGGUGCUCUUUCCUGUCUUAUUUAAGAAAAAGAGAAGGCUCUGUCUUCUCCCUUUUCAACCUGUCCUUUCCCUUAUGCACAAAGAUUUUUAACUGACCUAGAUUUUCAUCCCAUUCUACUGCUGGAUUGACCAUCUGCCCCAUAUUAGUCUGUUUUCAUGCUGGUAAUAAAGAGAUACCCAAGACUGGGUAACUUAUAAAGGAAAGAGGUUUAAUUGACUCCCAGUUCAGCAUGGUGGGGGAGGACUCAGGAAACUUACAAUCAUGGUGGAAGGGGAAGUAAACACAUCCUUCUUCACAUGGCAGCAGCAAGGAGAAUUGCUUCUCAAAAGGGGCAAAAGCCUCUUUUAAACCAUCAGAUCUCGUUAGAACUCACUCACUAUCAUGAGAACAGCAGGAGGGUAACCAUCCCCGUGAUUCGAUUACCUUCUACCAGCUCCCUCCCAUGACAAGUGGGGAUUAUGGGAACUACAAUUCAAGAGGAGAUUUGGGUGGGGACAGAGCUAAACCAUAUCAAGCCCCAUCCUACUUGGAUUUAUUUAAGAAUAAAGAACAUAAUUUUCUACUGAUGCCAUAGCCUCAUUUUUCUUAGCAAAGAAUAGUGGAAAAGGUAACUGUACUUUAUGUGAGCAUCCUCUUCAACAAUUGUGUAAUUGUCUCCUGCUGGAUGUUGCCUCUGCCCAGUUGGACCUCCUCUUUUCAUUGAAUAUAGUUGUAUAGUCUCUAUUCUCACAUCAUGAGUCAAGUAGUACAGGAAAGUACCAGGAAGAGGAUAUUCUAGGCUUUGUGUGCUGCUAUCUGGGUUCAGGCUUCACCCUUUGGAAAGAUAAGCACCGUAUGCUCUAAUCAUACAGACUUCUUGCAGCCUGGAUUCUCUGUUACAAUCAAAUUACUGUAGACCCUACCCCUAAAAAGGAACAAGAUCAUUUAUGUAAUUCUCCAUCAAGUGAUAUGAUAUACUACAGCACUGGUGCAGUUAAUAAAAUUGUAUCAAAUCAAUAAUUUAUUUCCAGUUAAACAAACUGUGGUAUGACCAUACCAUAGAAUACUAUUCAGCAACAAAAGGGAAUUAACUAUUGGUGUACUCAAUAAUUUGGAUGGAUCUCAAGAGCAUUAUGUUGAGUGAAUAAAGCCUGUCAAAGAAGGCUACGUGCUGUAUGGUUCCCUUUAUAUAUCAUUCUUGAAAUGAUAGAAUAAUAAGGAAAGCAGAUUCGUGGUUGCUAGAUUUAAGAUGAUGAGUUAAGAGGGAGAUGCAAGUAGCUAUAAAGGGGUAACAUAAGGAAUCCUUGUGGCAAUGAAACUCUUCUGUGUCCUGACUAUUGUGGUUGUCACACAAAGAAACGUGUGUGAUAAAAUUAUGUAGAAUUAAAUACACACACAUACACACAUUCACACACAAAUGAGAACAUGUAAAACUGAUGAAUUCUAAAUAAGAUAAUUGAAUCAAUGUCAGUUUUCUGGCUUUGACAUUUACUAUAGUUAUGAAAGAUGUUACAACUGGGGGAAGCUGGGAGAAGAGUAUAGGAUAUGGCUCUCUAUUAUUUCUUGCCGAUGAAUAUGAAUCUACAGUUAUCUCAAAAUAAAAUUUUAGUCUAAAAACGCAUUUCUCAACGUGAUCUUGAGUCAAACCAUCUUGGAAGAGAGGCACUUUGAUGUAUUCACUUCACAAAGCAUAGGGGUGAAGAUUUCUGGUAUUACCAGCAAGCCAAAUCACAUGACUUUCUGCUCUCUGCACCCUGUGGCCCUGCACUGUGGAUAAGGGAAUGUAUGUCCCUCUAGAACAGUUUAGUUUUCUUUGCGUUUGUUUGUAUCAAGAAAAAAUUUGCAAAUGAAGGAGAAUAUACGUGUACAUAUCUAAGAUUCAUCAGCACUCAAAAUCAGAGCAAGCUAGACAUCAUAGAGAAGCACUGAGCAGAAUAUACAAAAAGAGAUUAAAUAAUCUGAUUAUUCAGAGAAACCGUAUUUCUAGGAGAUGGAUUUAAGAGAAGCUUGUUCAUGAAAAUGGAAAAAAUAUAGCAGCAAGAGGGUCACUAAGUGUAAGCAAUGUCUAGUUUUUGUGACAACCACACUUGAACUAAACCUUUAAAAUUUAAUAAAAGAAUGAAAAUAAAUAGUUUAGCAUGAGAAGGUAAACAAUCAUUUGAAAAUAGUCUUGCACUUGGGUACUUUGCUCUCAUUGAUGUAGGACUAUGCCCCAUUUUGUUAGUUGUUUAUACAUAGCUUCACAGUUUUAAAGUAAGCAUAGCCAGUUAUGGCUAUGAUUUCUCUGUAGUCAGUUAUAUUUGCCCGGGAAAGUCCAAUCAACAAAGAGUUAUCAGUUAUCUUACCCAUGACAACAUUGUGAGAUGUGAGAUGCCAAGAAUAGACCAGAAGAGUGAUGGUUUCAGACCUCCAAAACAAAUGAAGAAGACUAACACACAGUAAAUCAGUAACAGAUCUAAAGCAUUUUAAUUCACAUAGAGAAUUUGGUUAGUGGACAUACUAAAUGCCUUCACUUUGCAGCAUAUUUCUUAAUAAACACUUUGCACUGUGUUUAUUCUACCUAUCUUAAACAUGGUUUUACUCAUGUAGCGGGAGCAGUUGGCUCAUGUCUUUUAUCUAUUUCAUUUACUAACUCUAAGGAAGUGAAGGAGAAACUUUCCCUUUGCCAUUUGAAGGGUCACUGGAAAAAUCACUGGUGUGAGGCAAAUUGAUUAAUAGAAGAAAAGGAAUACAUAUUUAUUUAACUUGUAUGCACAGGAGCCUUUGGAAUGAAGACCUAACAUAGGGGAAAUUGUCCAUUUUUAUGCUGAGGUUCAACAGCAUGUGGACAGUCGUGUAGAAAUGUGAUUGGAUAGAAAGGGUCUGAUUUGAAUGCUAAUGGACUGAGUCGGGGAAACCCAGCAAGGCCUGUCUGUCUAGAUUCUUCUUAGCUUCUCUGAGGAGCAGUUCUUCCUUCUUGGUGUGAGAGAGGACUUUGUCUGGAACAGGAAUCUUAGGACCUACAGUCAGACAAGGUAGGUCAGAUCAUUUCUUCCUGAACAGUUUUUGUGUAGAAUAUUUUUGGGUUUUAUGACUGACUUUUGGGUAAAGGGGUUCUGAUUUGUAUGACCUAUCUUGGGGAAAAGGGAUUCUAAUUUCUAUGGCUAGCCUCGGGGCAAAAUGGGACUGAGGGACAGGAGGACAGGAGAAGGUAAGAGAGAAACUUCUGCUUCUGAAACUGCUCAGCAGCAGUCUUCAUUUUGAGGUACUGUUUUCUGAGCCCCAAUAAGACUCUUCUAACCUGCUGAACAUGUGCCCGGCACUAUUCUAACAGCCAUGACAAUAGAGAGGAGAGGAAGAAAGGGAUCCUGCAAGUUACCAGUUGGGUCCUGAGAUGGUGACACCAUUCACUGAGUGACUCCAAGUGAUUAGCUAAAUAUAUUCUCUUCCUUUUGACUCUGCCUCCUUCUUACCAUGAGUCUAUGAGCAAGUUUCUCCAGCUUCUGUUAAAUAUCUGUGAAAUGGAAGCAAUGGUGGUGUUGUGAUGAUUAGAUGAGUAAACACAUCUAAAGCAUAAAGCUCUAUGCCUGGCACAAAGGAAGCCUUCAGUUAACAUUUAUGGGUUGUGUAAAAGAUCACGUUUAUUUGGUUUUCAAGACCAUCAUCUUCAGAGAUGCCAACGAGAUAGUUGCUAUGCUUUCUGGAAUUUUAAGACCCAAGUACAUCUUGUUAACCCUUGGGAAAUCUAGUGGCCUCUCAGAAUUUUUAAAAUUGUAUAUUAAUAAAUUAUAAUUGUAUUUAUCUGGUAAAAAGUGAGGUUAUCAUUUUUGAUACAAUGUGAAAUGAUUAAAUUGAGCUGAUUAACAUAUCCAUUACCUCAAAUAUUUAACCUUUUUCCUGAUGAGAACAUAUGAAAUUUACUCUCAGUAAUUAUGAAAUGUACAGUUCUCAGUUAUUAGCUAUAUUCACCAUGCUGUGCAGUAGAUCUCAAAAAAAAACUUCAAACAUCUUCCUCCUUUCUGAGGCUUUGCACCUUUUGCAACCAUUGCUGACAUCCCCCAGCUUCACCAGCUUGGUGGAGCACCUUGAGAUGUGCCGAUAACAGUAGUUGGCAUCUAGUCAGUGCUAAAAAAUUGUUAGCCUUUGCUGUUGUAUAUGUGGUUGUUGUUAUUGUAAAAUGGUGGCUGAAAUUUGUUUGUGAAUAUGCAGUGAUGUGCCAAAUAAGGACGUUUCUGUCAAUAAUGGACCACAUAGACAACAGUGUUCUCAUAAGAUUAUAAUACCAUAUUGUUACUGUACCUUUCUAUGAUUAGAUACACAAAUACUUACCAUUGUAUUACACUUACCUACACUAUUCAGUAUAGUAACAUGCUAUACAGGUCUCUGUAUUACAGGAGCAAUAGGCCGUACCAUCUAGCGUAAAUGUGUAGUAGGUUUGUGUAAGUACAUGCUGCGAUGUUCACUUCAUGGUCCACUAGGUCACUGGGAAGCCUUCCUGUACCUUUUUGUAUAUAUCUCUUUGUAUAUCUGCCACACACAAUGAUAAAGCUUAGGUGUUUGUGUAAAUACACUCUAUGAUGUUCACAAUGAAAUCACCUAAUGAUGCGUUUCUCAGGAUGUAUCUUCAUCAUUAAGUGACACGUGAUUAUACUUUAACAGAGAUACAAUUCUUGAACAGCUUGUUAGGAGAUAGAUAACAAAAAUAAGGGUAGCAUCUUUAAUUAUUCAAUUACUAAAUUAAUUCAUUAAAACAGCUGUCAUUAAUUACUUAAAGGCAGACAGGUGAAGGAAAGAAUGGCUUGACAUUUUCUAAAUUAUCACCCUUAUGUGUUGCCUCUGGCUAGACAACCUGCGGCGGCUGCUGUAGCUAAGUAUGUCAAACUGUUGAAUACCCAAGCCAGGCUUGUGAAAUAUUGAAAAAUGACUACUCCCAUGUUGAUCCAUUAAAUCUUUACCACCUUACAGAGAGCUGAUGAAUCACCUUUCUAGCACCAGGUUCAGGUACUUCCCAUAACGAUCUCAUAACUAGUGCCAACAUUGCCCAGACUCGGUAGCCUUUAUGAAAUUCAUUAUUAAAGUUUGACAUUUGUUCUUGUGUAGGUGUAAUGGGACUAGUCUAAUUGCAAAGAUGAGAGAGCUGCCAUUUAGAGAAAAAGCUCCCUUCUAAAACUUGUCUCUUCUAAUGAGUCACCGUAAUACCUCUGUAAUUAUUACACUGAUUGUCCUUUGUAGAAUUGGAUUUUUUUUGUACCCUGGGAGAUUUUGAUUAGAACAUUCAGUUAUUUUGUCUGAAGAGUGACCUAGCUAUAUCCGUUAAUACUCUUUGGAUUGGAUGCAUUGAAAAUUAAGUUGAAAUUAGAAUUUUUGUACACCAAGCCUUCAGGUGCCCUUUAGCAACUUCGGGACAUGAAAAUGUCUCUACACUCAGUAAUAAGUUUUGCUGAUAAGUUUUUGGUGGUGAAAAAAUAAAAUAUCUCAAGCUGCAGAAACAAAGAUUUUCCCAGAAAUUCUCAACAACUAUGAGGAUACGUAGAAGUUCUGCAAGGGCAGACACUCAUAUAUCAUUAAUCCUUGACAGAGUUAGUAGGAAUCCUUUGGAUUUCAGCCAGUGUGGCAGAGUACCCUGAGACAUGGCAGAAGAGAAUGGUGGUGGUCAGGCACUGAAUUCAGUUAACUAUUACUGGUUUUUAAGAACUCAUGAUGCAUUCACAUAGAAUCUUUGUCAACUUCUCAAAAAUCCUAGUAGAGUGAGAAUUUUAUCCCCAUUUUAAAAGUGAGCCAUGUAGGUAACUUGCUCCCAAAUUACUCAAUAAAUGCUGCAUCUGGAUUAGAAUCUAUCUGAGGCUGGCUUCCCCAUCUGGAUUUCAGCAUUACUCCAUUAGUGCUCCCCACCCUAUCCAGCCCUAUGCUGGUCCACUAGUCACUGGUAUACCUUCCUAUACCCUAACUAUAUCUCCCACAUAGAAUAAUAAUGCUUAGGUAUUUGGAGAUGAAUGUGCAAAGUUCAGAAAUGACGUUAGACAACGUUUUAUCUUCCUUCACAAUGAAAUAAGAACAAUUAACACCAAUGUAAUACCAAAACAGUUUACAAAAAAAGUGAUUUUCUUGUAAUGUGAAGGAUUUAAUGUAAACCAUCACCGAAUACUGUUUGAAAGGGUUCCACAUUAAUGCAUGUCAGAGAAGCAGGCCUAAAGACUAAAUCAGCAAUGUCUAUGUUGAUGCUUUUGGCCUGUAAAGUAUCUCUAAAACCCUGUAAAGUAUCUUGUAAUGGAGUAGAAUAAUCAAAGACUUGGGAUAACUUCUGUGGUCACCAAGCCUGUUGUAAAUGAAUAACCAGGCCUUUUGUUUUGAUAAAUUCAAUCUACUUUCCUCUGUAGCACAAGAUUAUACUCAAAAGCAGGUUAUGUUUGCCCCCAAAUUCCUAGUUACUAUUGUGAAGUUAGGCUCAGACCUGACUUUUUCAUAUCUUUUUACCUCAGCACCUACAUCCCUGGCACCGAUAGAGGGCCCUUUCUACAGAUGUUCAAGAUUCCAAAAUUAUUUGAUACUUUGCAAAGUAAAGUAUCCAGCAGCACCAAAUAUUUUUCAAUCUUUAAAAGGCUGAAUUUAGUUCGGUCUUAGAACAAAGCAAUCUGAUUAAAAUAAUGCAUACUAAAAAUUGAAUGGCUAAUAUGUUUUGCUUUGUAUUGUUUGAAAUUUUAGAGGAACUUUUUCUUCCCCACUUACAAGUCUUUAAAAUGAAACGUGUGAGCAAGAUUCUGUUUUCUUUCUUAGCAGGAAUGAAUGUCAGCUGUCCUUUUCGUACCUUAGCUUCUCCUUACUACCCCAUUUAGAAACUUGACACCUCUCUCCUGAAAUGCUGAUGACAUGUGAUCUAAAGAAUAUCUUGGACACUUAGGAAAAUUAAACACAUAGGAAAUUUUUUAUUUUCCUUCCUAGUAUGAAGUUUUCUAUUUGUCUUUCCUUUGGGUGGGGUAAAACAUUAAUAACUUAUACAGCGCUACUCUCUAAUGUAAAAUUAUAAAGUAAUUUAUAUUUAGGGAUGUAGAUUGUUAUUUUAGAUUUAAUGUGUACUUAUGUAAUCAGUGGAUGAUUAUGUCAAGCCUAUAACAUUAUUUAAGCGGUCUGCCAUGGCAUUAUUUAAUGAAAUAAUUGGAAAAGAUACUGUAAGCUAUUGAAGAAAAAUUUUACUCAAAGUUUAAAAAGUUCAUGAUGAGGCAUUUGCAGCUGUAAGCAAUCAUAUUACUGUGCCAUUUGUUUUAUGGAAAAUAAAGACAUUUACUUAAGGCUGUUAAACAUUUGAUUUUAAUACUGCCUCCUAAGCGAUACAGACUAUCACUUUUGACAUUGGAGGAAAAAGAGUUACUCAAAUUCACUCAAGCUUUAGCUAUAUUGAUUUAUAGGAUGGAUUUUUGUUAACAUGUCAAGUGAUUCCUGUUUUAUAAUGAAGGCAUUACUUUGAGUCAAUAUCAAAGUACAUGUUUCCCUCAACCUUCUUGGCAUUUUCUGCUUUUUGAGGUGCCAACAGUAGCAAGAAGGGGUAGUUUAAAUUCCACUUUCCAUAAAAAAAAAUCCUGGCAGGUGUGGUGGCUCACACCUGUAAUCCCAGCACUUUGGGAGGCCAAGACAGGUGGAUCACCUGAGGUGGGGAGUUUGAGACCAGCCUGAUCAACAUGGAGAAACCCUGUCUCUACUAAAAAUACAAGAUUAGCAAGGCAUACUGGUGUAUGCCUGUAAUCACAGCUACUAGGAAGCUGAGGCAGGAGAAUUGCUUGAACCCGCGAGAUGGAGUUGCAGUGAGCUCAGGUUGCAGUUAGCGGAGAUGGUGCCAUUACACUCCAGCCCAGGCAACAAAAGCAAAACAACUCUGUCUCCACAAAAAAAGAAAGAAAGAAAGAAAGGAAGAAAGAGAAAAAUCCCAUUUGGUAAAACAUUAUGUACUCUCUAAACAGGGAUUCUCUUCACACCAUUUUGAAUUGUAUGCUUCUUGCUUUGUUGCACUGAUUAAACUGGGAAACAAUUUUAUGUGUAGAGGGUUUCUAAAUCUCAGCUCUAUUGACAUUUAGGGCCAGAUCAUUCUUUUUUGUGAUGGGCUGUCCUGUGCAUUGCAGGAUGUUGAGCAGGAUCCCUGGUUUCUAGCCACUAGAUGCCAGUAGCACCUUCCCCUCAGUUGAGACCACCAAAAAUGUCUCCAGGCAUCCCUAAAUGUCCUAUUGGGUAUGCAGUCAGUGUCAGUUGAGAACUACUCAUCUAGAAAAUUAGCAUAUUUCUAGCAAAAGCAUAACUAUUUAAAAAAAAGUUUGGUCUAGAAUGUUUUUCUCUCAAAUGAGGAAUAUUUUAGAUCAUUAUCAUUUCAAUAAUAAAUAAUAAUUACAGAAGCCAAAAUACAGGUUUCAGAUGGUAUCUGUUUAGGAAUGUGAAUAACGUGACAGCAUUUUCUGAAACAAUAAUUUGUAGAGACUAACAAAGGUGUUUUCUCUCAUUUGUCCAUUAAAUUAUGAUAUUUAGUAGUGAUUGGUACACAUAUUGAUCUCUAGAUUUAUUAUCCUUAAACAAUGCAGACACACACUUUAAACAGACUUAGUAGCAAAAAAUUGCUUGUCUUAUUUGGAACAUUUCUCAGACUAAAGAAUUUUAAGUGAAACCAACCACAACUUUGUGCUGCAUAUAUGAGAGGGCUUCAAAAAGUCCAUGGAAAAAAAGGAAAUUAAAAUAUAAAAAAUAAUAAAUAGAAAAUUUAUUUCUCAGCAUCAAGGUCAAGAUACUUUUGUAAGCAACAAUACCAACCAUUUUAGUCCAUCUCUAAAGAACUAAGGGUCCUGGAAAUUUUACCAUGUCAUUGCAGUCUUUUUUACAUUAUUAACUGAAGAAAAAUGGGUGCCCUUUAGAUAUAUUUUUUAAGAUCAGGAAGCAAAAAGAAGUCAGAAGGAGCCAAAUCAGGACUGGAGGGUAAAUUCUUAUUAAUUUCCCAUAGAGAUGCUCACAAAAUUGCCCUGUUCAAUAAGAGGAUGAGCCAGGAGCAUUGUUGUGGUGAUUUUUUGCUAAAACUUUGGCUAACAUUCUCAAAAUACUCUCAUAGUAAGCAGAUGCUAACUGAGUUUUGUCCCUCUAAAAAGUCAACAAACAAAAUGUCUGGAGCAUCACAAAACACUGUUGCCAUGACCACCACUCUUGACCAGUCUGCUUUUACUUUGACUGGACCACUUCCCCCUCUUGGCAGCCACUGCUUUGAUUGUACUUUGUCUUCAGGAUGGUACUGGGAAAGCCAUGUUUCAUCUCCGGUUACAACUCUUUGAAGAAAUGCUUAAGGAUUUUAGUCCCAGUUGUGAAAACUUGCCUGCAAAAUCUCUGCUUUUGUCUGCAGCUGAUCUGGGUGCAAUGGUUUUGGUAACUUUAGGGUGGAAAGUUUGCUCAACUUUAAUUUUUCAUUCAGAAUUCUGUAAGCAGAACCAAUUGACAUGUCUAUGGUGUGAGCUAUUGUUUCUGUUGUUAAUCAUUGGUCCUCUUCAAUUAGGGCAUGAAGAAAAUGAAUAUUUUUCUUCAGAAAUUGAUAUGGAUGGUCUGCUGCUGUGGGCUUCAUCUUCAACAUCAUCUCAUUCCUUCUUUUUUUCCCCCUUUUUAAAGAUGGGGUUUCACUCUUUUCGCCCAGGCUGGAGGGCAAUGGCAUGAUCUCAGCUCACUGCAACCUGCACCUCUUGGGUUCAAGCAGUUCUCCUUCUUCAGCCUCCUGAGUAGCUGGGAUUACAGCUGCCUGCCACCAAGCCCAGCUAAUUUUUGUAAUUUUAGUUGUGAUGGGGUUUCACCAUUUUGACCAGGCUGGUCUCAAACUUCUGACCUCAGGUGAUCUGCACACCUCCACCUCCAAAUGUGCUGGGAUUACAGGUGUGAGCCACCACAUCCAGCCCUCACCCCUUCUUAAAAUGAAUUUUCCAUUUGCAAAGUUAAUCUCUUUGGGGCACCGUCCUCUAACUUUUAAUCAAGCAUCAGUGAUUUCACCAUUGUUCCACCCAGUCUUCACCAUAAAUUUGAUGUUUGUCUUCAAUUUUAGCAGAAAUCAUGUUUCCCUGACAGGGACUUUUUUCAAACCAAUGUCUUAUCUUUCUUAAUGCCUCAAACUAGAUCCUGUUCAGACAGGUUAUAAAAGUUAGUAAGAAUUUAAUUUGGUGCAAUAUGUAUUUCAAAUUUUUGCAUAGUUCUUUCAUAAUGCAUAUUUUCUAUGAACUUUUUGAAGUAACCUCAUAUUUUCUCUUUGUUCAUUUUACUAGCAUGUUUGACUAAGAUAAGUUUUAGAGGCAAAAGUAUGACUUAUAUGGUUUUUAUAAUUAAGUAUUUCUGUAAUAUUCCAUAUUAUUGCCAAUUCUCUCCAGGGAGAAGUCUUUCUAGCUCUUUCCUGAAUAAUUGCUAUCAACUAUUCAUAUUUAUCUAAGAUAUUUCUGAUAACUAAUAUCAAAACCUUAAGAAUUUCAGGGUAUACUAUGCUUAGCAAUAUUACUUGGAGCUUCUAUUCAAACAGCAGAAACGAUUGUUUUCCUUUAUGCAAAAUAUAAGUUACAUCAUGUAAAGCAGUGUUAACAUUUUGGGUUAAGCCCCAAAUCAUAACUUCUGGGUGAGGAUCCUUGAAAAAAAUUUCAAGGAUCAAUUUAUAUAAUCAGCAGAAGCAUUCUAGCAGAGUUUAAAAAUGUUUAUACCUAAGAAACAGUCACUCUAGAUUUAUCAGUUUAUUGUGCUUAAAUAUGAAAAAUGUAUACAUACAACACAGGCAAAAUUCACAGAAUGAGUUUUGUAUGAAUAUAGAAUUAUGGACAGUUUUAUCCUAUUUACCACAUUAAUUGAUUAAAUAAGUUUAUGUAAAUAUGCUAUCAUGGGAGGCCAAGGCAGGUAGAUCACCUGAGGUCAGGAAUUCGAAAACAGCCUGGCCAACAUGGUGAAACCCCAUCUCUACUAAUAUUGCAAAAAAUAGACAGGUGUGGUGGCACAUUCCUGUAAUCCUAACUACUUGGGAGACUAAGGCAGGAGAAUUGCUUAAACCUGGGAGGCAGAGGUGUGAGAUCACACCAUUGCACUCCAACCUGGGCUACAAGAGUGAAACUCCUUCUCAAAAAUAUAUAUAUAAUAAUAUAUGCUAUCAGUGUUUUUCACUGGGUGAAUUUUGCACCUCCCCUGAGGACACAUUUGCCGAUGUCUGGAGACUUUUGUGGUCACAUUUGGGAGAGGUGAUUUACUACUGGCUGAGGAUGCUGCUAAACAUCCUACAGUGUAGAAGACAACCCCCACCACAGCAAUGAAUGAUUUUACCCCAAAUAGCAAGAAUGCCAAGAUUGAGAAAUUCUGUACUGUAGAGAUGAUCAGUAAAAUGUUUUCUUUAUUCUCCAGCAAUUUUCUCGAGAUGUUCUUCAGAUUUGGGACAUUUUGCAAAUGUUAACUUGCAUGCAUCACUGCAUCAUUGGGUAUGCCAACAGUCUCACUCACAUAUGUCAUAUCACAGCACAAAGAAGAGAUAAUCUCUUAAUUGGCUCCUUAUCUCAUUUUCCAGAGUGUCACUUUAACUGCAAUUUCUUCACGACAAUUUCUCACCAGGAAACUGGCAGCUCUGAUAUUUAUGGUCAGUUUCUUUUUUAUUUUUAAUUUGCUACCAUUUUUGAUUUUUGUGCGUACAUAGUAGGUGUAUAUUAAUAAUGAGAGAAUGCCACUUGUGUAGCAAAUGUUUUUGAAUUUUUGAUGCAGACUGGUUUUGAUUAACUGCUUUGUGCUUUAUUUGUACUUUUUAGAAUCUUUUCUUUUUGAAUAAUAUGGAAAUUGCUAUAAUGGCCAUGGCUAAACUAUGCAUUUUUUUUAGUGUGAUGGAAAGUUACAACUUCUUUUAACACAGGCUUAUUUUUAAUAGGAUAACAUUGAAUUUGAAAGUAUGUAUAUGUAUGUAGCUAUUGAAGUUCUGGGAGCUAAGAUCUGAGAACUGGCAGAUUUAGAUGUAUUUUUUUAUUCAAUCAUUCAUUUUAUUGAGAAGCUACUUGUGAGUAGCAUUUACUGAACUACUUUGAUAUCUAAAAUACUACAUUUUUUAGAAAAGAUACUUAUUUUGAAAAAUGUUUGAUUUUCCUGCUUUUAUACUAAGUUUUACAUCAAAAUACCAUUUUGCAACUAAAUCUUUGCACAAUUAAACAAAUUUUUAAACAAAUUAGAACUUCAGGCCAAAUUGUUACAUCUAGAAAACACUUAGAAAUGGUCACCAUUUCUCCUAUUUUGUUGCUUCCAGUAAAUUUCCUUCAUGGCACAAUUUACAAAAAGGAAUAAAUAUUGAACAUGUAUUUAACAUUAAAAACACCACUUACAUGCAUAUACAGUUAUGGAUCUUAAAAUGCAGACUUUUUUAUUAUAUCAGUCUAUGAGUUCUCUUGUGAAAUAUUUUUCUUUGUAGUAAUAGCUUUAUUUCAAUGUUAGUUGGCUAUAUCUUUUAUUCAGUGACUAUUUGCUGAAGUAUUUGCAGCUAGGGGCAUUUUGAAUGCCUAAUGGGAACAAGGAGACCUUACAUACAAUUGGAAUUAUUCCAUAAAGUCUGAGUAUAUAUAUGCAUGUAUGUACAUAUAGGGGUGUGUGUGUGUGUGUAUGCAUAUACACACAUGUGUGUGCAUAUAUAUAUGUGUGUGUGUGUAUUAUACACCUAUGUGUGUUUGUGUAUAUAAAGAGAUAAUUUUCUUUGAAUUGAGCAAAACACACCAUCUUCCUUGUCUCUGUUAGGGCACAAGUUUUUCUCCUUUUCCUUUAUUCUGUUCUGAUACCAUAAAAGCCAUUCACAAUAGGUUAUAGGUGGCUGUAACUUAUGAUUUCAGUAGUGAAAUUCAUCAUCCCUGAGAUUAUUCCCUCUCUUCUCGCAUGUUAAUUACUGGCUUCAGAUUGACUUUGCUGUGACCUUAUCUGUAAAGAUUUGCUUCCUUUUUCAAUGUCUGCCUUUCACUUUCUGGAGAUAUAACCUUUGUUUCUCAAGAUCUGAAUGCAUGGAAUAUGAAACUUUCUCCAGCUCCACCAGCACAAGUGACCUCUCUUUCUCUCAACCCUAGAGCUAUUUAUUCAUUAAAAUUACCAAUUAUAUUUCCUUUUAUACACAUCUUGUCUCCCACUAAUUGGUAGCCAUUGAAGUCCGAGAUAGAUCCCAUAUUCUUUAACUUGACCCUGAGGAGAUACAGGUCUAGCUUUUAUUUAGGUUAGGGCUGGAAUCUGAGGAACUGUGUUUCUAUUGCAUGCUGCAGUCAUGAGCUAACAGAACCCUUAAAUCAAGAGCUGUCAACCUAACACGAAGAGGCAGCCACAGAGCUGUCUCUGGGAAGCUUUAUUCUUUGACUCACGUGUUCAGUAUGGGUAAUGUGGUUGAAACCUAGCAAAGUCAAAAUUUACUUGAAGUGAUAUGGUGGAUGUGAUGCUGUAGAUGAUGACUGUAGACCUGAAGAAAAGGAGUUAGGAGAAUAACAUCUGCUUUUCUGUGUGAUAUCCCCUCCCCCCAGCUGUUUAGAGGAUUAUAAAUUGCUCUGUCAAGAGUUUGUUUACAAAAGCCUGGCCAGUUCCAAAAUGAAGCUUGCCUUUGAAUUGUCCCUGUUUCAUCUCACUGUUUAGAAAAUAAAUCUGAAUCAUUAAGAUGUAAAUAUAUAAAAUGAAAAGACAAAGGCAGUGAAAACCAAGUAGAAGCAAGAAAUGUACCACAAUUUAACUAUUCUCCUGAGGGGGAAAAUGGUAAUAAGUUUUGUAUCUUAUAAUUUUAUUAUUAUUAUUUUUUUUUUUUUGAGACGGAGUUUCACUCUUGUUACCCAGGUUGGAGUGCAAUGGCGUGAUCUCGGCUCACGGCAACCUCCGCCUCCUGGGUUCAGGCAAUUCUCCUGCCUCAGCCUCCCAAGUAGCUGGGAUUACAGGCACGUGCCACCAUACCCAGCUAAUUUUUUGUAUCUUUAGUAGAGACGGGGUUUCACCAUUUUGACCAGGAUGGUCUUGAUCUCAUGACCUCGUGAUCCACCCGCCUCGGCCUCCCAAAGUGCUGGGAUUACAGGCUGGAGCCACUGCGCCUGGCCAAUUUUAUUAUUAAAUUAAGGGGAGAUAAAUUUGAAAUCAGCAUAGUAUCUACUUUGUGUAGUAUUUAACACUAUGAUUUAUACUGACAACUGGUAAUGAAUCAAAGUCAAAAUAUGUGAGGGUAACUGUAUGUUCAUUAAAUUCGAGUUUGGUAAUGAGAUGGAGAGAAUGAGAGGUAUACAGGUGUAAGCAGCAGUUCUCAAAGUGUAGACCCAGAACCAGCAGCAGAUGCAUUACCCUGAAACAUGAGAAAUGAAAAUUCUCAGGCCCUAUGGAAAACCUACUGAAUCAGAAACUCUGGGGAUGGGGCCCAGUAGUCUGUGCUUCAACAAGCCCUCCAGGCAAUUCUGAUGCACACUCCAGCUUAAGAACCACUUCUAUGUAGAUGGAUGGAUGGUUGGAUGGCUGGCUGGCAAGCAAGAUAUAUGAGUACAAUAACGUACAUAUAUAAGUACAAGUAUAGGUAUGGGUAUAAAUACAGAUAUGAAUGCAAAUAUAGAUAUAAAUACAGAUAUUUGGAGAUAGAUAUAGAUAUAGAUAUUUGGAGUUACCAUCACAAGAUUUUUUAGAGGAGCAAAUUAUUUCAUUUAUUAUAUGACUGGAUAAAAGCUGUUCUUUUCUCGAGGCAAUGGGUCUGUCACUUACAAACUGAGAAAAUCUGCUUGUGGUUCAUUUGUUGAACCUUUUUCCAUUAGGUUCAUUUGAAGUGUUUGUUCCAUCAAGUCUGCCACCCGGGUGGUUUCCUUCACUGCAAGACUGAUUUGCUCUUUUCUCCAUUCUGUCCUCGUGGUGGUUGCUGUUUGCCCUGGUUCUAUCCAUUGGUAGAACUGAUUGCUUUGGAGGUUGGAUCAACAGUUGAAUCCUCACAGGAUUCUGAAGCCAACAAUAUCCUAUGUCUUGGUCCAUUUUUUGGAAUUGCUUCAUUUUUGUUUUCUCCUUCCAUUUUUGUUUCUAAGCAUAUAUAAUUUAUUUAAGUUUGUGCAAAAGUAAUUGCAGCUUUGCUCCAGUAAUUGCAGCUUUGCCCCAGUAAUUGCCAUUUGCCCCAGUAACUGCCAAAAAGUAACUGCAGUUACUUUUGCACCAACCUAAUGAUUUCAGCCAAAUAUUCAUAUGUAACACUGAUUACAAUGGGAAUGAAUAAGUAACAGCUAAAUGUCUGAUAAAGGGGGAUGUUUUAAAUAUUGUAGAUUGAAAAAUAAUAUACUAUUUGAAAAGAAAAUUUCAAUAUGCAAAAAA